UACAGAGGGUGCAAGCGUUGUUCGGAAUUAUUGGGCGUAAAGCGCGUGUAGGCGGCUUGGCAAGUCGGGUGUGAAAUCCCUCAGCUUAACUGAGGAAGUGCGCCCGAAACUGCCGAGCUUGAGUACCGGAGAGGGUGGCGGAAUUCCCCAAGUAGAGGUGAAAUUCGUAGAUAUGGGGAGGAACACCGGUGGCGAAGGCGGCCACCUGGACGGAUACUGACGCUGAACGGCGAAAGCUAGGGGAGCAAACGGG
rnacentral:rRNA from 1 species